rnacentral:rRNA from 1 species
GAUGAACGCUAGCUACAGGCUUAACACAUGCAAGUCGAGGGGCAGCAUGAACUUAGCUUGCUAAGUUUGAUGGCGACCGGCGCACGGGUGAGUAACACGUAUCCAACCUUCCGUUUACUCAGGGAUAGCCUUUCGAAAGAAAGAUUAAUACCUGAUAGUAUGGUGAGAUUGCAUGAUAACACCAUUAAAGAUUUAUUGGUAAACGAUGGGGAUGCGUUCCAUUAGGUAGUAGGCGGGGUAACGGCCCACCUAGCCUGCGAUGGAUAGGGGUUCUGAGAGGAAGGUCCCCCACAUUGGAACUGAGACACGGUCCAAACUCCUACGGGAGGCAGCAGUGAGGAAUAUUGGUCAAUGGACGAGAGUCUGAACCAGCCAAGUAGCGUGAAGGAUGACUGCCCUAUGGGUUGUAAACUUCUUUAUACGGGAAUAAAGUGAGGCACGUGUGCCUUUUUGUAUGUACCGUAUGAAUAAGGAUCGGCUAACUCCGUG